rnacentral:rRNA from 1 species
UACGAAGGGGGCUAGCGUUGCUCGGAAUCACUGGGCGUAAAGGGUGCGUAGGUGGCGGGGUAAGUCAGGUGUGAAAUCUCGGAGCUCAACUCCGAAACUGCACUUGAUACUGCCUUGCUCGAGUACUGGAGAGGAGAUUGGAAUUUACGGUGUAGCAGUGAAAUGCGUAGAUAUCGUAAGGAAGACCAGUGGCGAAGGCGAAUCUCUGGACAGUUACUGACACUGAGGCACGAAGGCCAGGGGAGCAAACAGG